rnacentral:rRNA from 1 species
AUACGUAGGGUGCGAGCGUUAUCCGGAAUCAUUGGGCGUAAAGAGCUCGUAGGCGGUUCAGCAAGUCGGCUGUGAAAGUUCGAGGCUCAACCUCGAAAUUGCAGUCGAUACUGCUGUGACUCGAGUCCGGUAGAGGAGAAUGGAAUUCUCGGUGUAGCGGUGAAAUGCGCAGAUAUCGAGAGGAACACCAGUAGCGAAGGCGGUUCUCUGGGCCGGCACUGACGCUGAGGAGCGAAAGCGUGGGGAGCAAACAGGAUUAGAAACCCCUGUAGUCC